GGGCGAUUAGCUCAGUUGGUUCAGAGCAUCUGCCUUACAAGCAGAGGGUCGGCGGUUCGAGGCCGUCAUCGCCCA
rnacentral:tRNA from 1 species